CCUAUGAAGGACAGGUUGGACAACUCCACCAAGACUCCUGGAAGACAGGAUAUACCCUAUGAAGGACAGGUUGGACAACUCCACCAAGACUCCUGGAAGACAGGAUAUACCCUAUGAAGGACAGGUUGGACAACUCCACCAAGACUCCUGGAAGACAGGAUAUACCCUAUGAAGGACAGGUUGGACAACUCCACCAAGACUCCUGGAAGACAGGAUACCCUAUGAAGGACAGGUUGGACAACUCCACCAAGACUCCUGGAAGACAGGAUAUACCCUAUGAAGGACAGGUUGGACAACUCCACCAAGACUCCUGGAAGACAGGAUAUACCCUAUGAAGGACAGGUUGGACAACUCCGCCAAGACUCCUGGAAGACAGGAUAUACCCUAUGAAGGACAGGUUGGACAACUCCACCAAGACUCCUGGAAGACAGGAUAUACCCUAUGAAGGACAGGUUGGACAACUCCCCCAAGACUCCUGGAAGACAGGAUAUACCCUAUGAAGGACAGGUUGGACAACUCCGCCAAGACUCCUGGAAGACAGGACAUUCCCUAUGAAGGACAGGUUGGACAACUCCACCAAGACUCCUGGAAGACAGGAUAUACCCUAUGAAGGACAGGUUGGACAACUCCACCAAGACUCCUGGAAGACAGGAUACCCUAUGAAGGACAGGUUGGACAACUCCACCAAGACUCCUGGAAGACAGGAUAUACCCUAUGAAGGACAGGUUGGACAACUCCACCAAGACUCCUGGAAGACAGGAUACCCUAUGAAGGACAGGUUGGACAACUCCACCAAGACUCCUGGAAGACAGGAUACCCUAUGAAGGACAGGUUGGACAACUCCACCAAGACUCCUGGAAGACAGUAUAUA